UCAGACCUUGUAUGUAAGAAAGUGUAGUAGAUUUGGUGGGCAGAGGAAUGUCCUUAUGCUUUUUUUGUGUGUGAGGGGGGCACUGAAGUAUCUAGAGUGCUAUUAGAUUUAUAUUAGGUACACGAUAAAUGCUCGACAAAUUAAAAAUAUAGUACUGUGGCAAAGGAAGAUUUUUUUUUCUCAUGAUGGGAGAAGGUGGCAGCAAAUGCCUACAAGAGGGUUUAUCAAGGUUUGACAGCCACAGCAGGUGUGGUUGUUCCAGGUUCCUCUCAUGUUUACUUCUAGGAGACACGGGGGGGUGGAGGCUUCCCUGCCUGCGAUGGAAUCCCUGAUUCCAAAGCAAAGGUGCUUGUGGGACACGGGGGGAAAGGUACUUGCGUAUCACCUAUAGAAAGUGUCCCCAAAUCCCAGAGCACAUAGGGAAGACAUGGAUUUGGAGCAAAGGUAAACCCUGAAAAGAACAGAGGUCAGAUCACUGGUGAGAGCACUUCAGCUCUACAGGAGACAGGGGGGAAGGAUGUAAGAGGGUACACAGGGCAAAGAAGAUAUGAGGUGCACACUCCUCCCAGACAGACAUCCUCCUAAAACAGAGGUUAGUUCUAAGACAAGAGUAGGUUACAAAGCAAGGAAGACGUCAGGGGAAUUAAGGUGAGACAAAGCCGAAGCAGAGGAGAACCCUCAUGGGGGGAGUGACGUGAAUUAAGAAUUGAGAGAGUUGAGUAAAAGGUUUAUUAUCAGUGCAGCCAACACCAUGGAACAGCACAAACAUAACACAACCAGCUGCCUGCAGAGACCCCAGUGCAAAGGGCGGAGGCUGCUGAGCCUCCUGGCUCCAUCCGAGGGUGACGACAGGAGGGCACAGGCCUGGGGAAGGCAGGCAGGGCCAGAGGAGAGUGGAAGAAAUGUAGUAACCAGACUAAGUAUAGCAGCGUUUUCAAAUUCCUGAGCACAACGUCCUGGAGCUAGAACAUAUGACUGUUCCUCACCCCCUUCAAGCUGUACCCCUCCUGCCCACAGUCCCAGUGGAGCCAGGACCCAACUACCCAGACCUACAGCAAGCUGCCCUGGGAAAAACUCCCCAAAGAGAAGCUGUCACACGGCCAUCUCUCUCCAGCCCCACGCCCACCUGCAUAUCAAGACAGCCCGUUGAGAUCUCCUAUAUCUCCUCCACGCCAUGUGCGAAUAUCAUGACAAGCCCUGGCUCCUGCACCAUGUCAUCACCCAUGUGCUGGUUCUCACAGGCCAUCACGACAACAGCCUGCUUGCCGGGGAUGCGCUUAGCCACGUAGUUCUCAUAGUAACGCCGGUUCAUCUGUCGUGUCUCUAGUGUGGCCAGACCCUGGGGCCAGCUACGCUCGUGGGCGUUUUCGAUCAGCUCGUUGACAAUAGACGCAGGACAGCCACUCUCCACCAGGGAGCGCUUGAUUACAGCCUGGAGGACAGCAUCUGGAGUGGAGAUCAUCCCUCCCCAGCGGGUCACCCGUGCCGGCUGCAGAGAGUUCACCCACCUGUGUGGAGGGAGUUGCAGGUCGUCAGUCCAGCUCAUCCCCUUUCUCUGCACUGGCUUUUCUCCUAACAGGAACGACUGGCUGCUCUGCACUCGGCCUAACUCGAUUCCUCCUUCUUUCCUUCCAUCACUGGCUCAGAAACUCAAGAUCUUUCCCUAGUUGGUUCCAUCCAAGUGUCGUCACAUGUUACUCACCAGAUUAAACUCCACAAGUGUAGGGUUCCUGUUAUUUUUCUUAAAAAUCCCAAUACUUAGCACAUGGUGCCUGGCAUGUAGUAAGUGCUCAACAAAUGUGUGCUGAAUGAAGCAAUUAUUCUAUAUUGAGUCCCACACAGCACUAUCUGCACUACAUAGAUUCACUCACAGUGUAGUCUAUGAAUAUGUAGAACUCCAGACCUGAAAGGGAUCUUAGACUUUACUUGUUUACUUCCCUUGUUUUUGCUGCAUUUUAGAUCAUUUUCCUGGAUUUGCACUCUCUUCUUCUCUGAAUUGUAAGCUCCCUGAAGACAGGGAUGAUAUCUUCUAUUUCUUUUUGGUCUUCCUAGCCCUCCCACAGCCUUUCAUACAGGGCUUUGUACAUGAGGGUACCCACCUAACUCUUGGGUAAGCUUUCCCUUCCAUCCACCCAAAAGAAUAAGAGCGCCUCUCCUGGGGUGACGGUUAUCCCCUGCUCCCCGGCCCUGCUCAUCCCAGCACCUGAGAAGCAGUGGCCCCAGCCCAGCCCUCUUCUUACCCUCCCCCUCUGCUCCUUCCCUGACUUCCCUGUUCUUCCCCACUCAAGGCCUGGUGCCAGGAUGUGGAGUCAGCCGUGGACGUGGCCCCACGUCCUGAGUGACACUCACUCUAGGAUCUCGUUGUACUCAAUUGUCUCCUCCAGGUUCUGGAGGUUGGGGUUGACACUUCGAAUAGCACGCAUGUAUGCCUUGAGCAGCUGGAUGUCUCGCUUCUGUUGGAGGGAAGGGGAACAAGGGAUAAUGGUUAAGACAGACAAUAGAUGAAAGAUAAGUGAGAAUGAGGGAAAUCCAGAGAUCUGAGGAAAAACCAGACUGGAAGCUUCAUGAAGACCAGGGUACGACUGUAUCAUUCCCAGCUGUAUCCCCAGUGCUUACCAAAGUGCCUUCAAGGGAAGGCAUUUGAUAAAUGUUAAGUAAAUGAUGCCAUUGAUGGGAUGAAGGGAAGCAAGAAGAGCUCCAGUCUGAUUCACUGCUACGCACAGGCAGAGCAUCCCACUGACCAGACUCUCAAGCACAGGCACAGACCUGCGGCUCACACCCAUGCCCGUCACCCACAGGCACGCGGUUAUCUGCACAUGAAAGAGGUGUUCUGCCCUGUGUUCUCUGGGGCCCUACCUGCUCCGCCAGCUGGUGUUUGUGUUCCGCUGAGGUCUUUUCCAGCUCUGCAAUUCGUGUCUGCUGCUGCUGUACCACUGAGCGCAGCAAGAGCAAAAAGAUCGCAGCUCGGAAAGCAGCAUGACAGUGAGCUGUUGGAGCAGGGAGCCAGGGAGGCCAAGAACACUCCCUGCCUACGUGCACAGGAGACCUUCUCAGCUGAAAUCCCAGGAAGAAACGAGGUCAGUUCACACAGUUCCCCACUUCCUAUCUGUGACACAGUAGGCAGGCCUGUGGGGAGACUGGCUGGUUACCUGAAACACCACAUCAUGAAAAUGCAGAGAUAACUUAUUCAGAGAGUCCGGAAGUUCCGUCACGGGUAGGAAGAUGAAACCUAACUAGAGCCCCUGAAGAGGAAGAGAAGCCACCAAGCUACUGUCAAGAGGACAGAAACAAACAGCUGACCAUCCUACAGCACAAGUCUCACAGCAACCUCCGAAGAAAAUCUGAACCGCUGCACUUCUGCGGUGUCCACCUCUAGACAGAUUCUGCAAGGCCCUCGUGCCCUGUACCCGGCUGCUCCUUUGCACCGAACGCCUAUUCUGCGUGUGUCAGGGGUGUGAGCAGUGGGGGAGGGGGGCCCAAACAGUGAGCUCCCCACUGGCCCAUUUCCUAGGAAGGCCUUCUACGAGCUCCACUGCCAUCUACUGCAGCACCAGAACUGCCUCAGGCCGACUCACCUGGACU